AGUAGUUUGAUCAUGGCUCGAGGACGAACGCUGGCGGCGUGCUUAACACAUGCAAGUCGAACGGUAAGGCCCUUCGGGGUACACGAGUGGCGAACGGGUGAGUAACACGUGGGUGAUCUGCCCUGCACUUCGGGAUAAGCCUGGGAAACUGGGUCUAAUACCGGAUAGGACCAUGGACUUCACGGUUUGUGGUGGAAAGCUUUUGCGGUGUGGGAUGGGUCCGCGGCCUAUCAGCUUGUUGGUGGGGUAAUGGCCUACCAAGGCGACGACGGGUAGCCGGCCUGAGAGGGUGUCCGGCCACACUGGGACUGAGAUACGGCCCAGACUCCUACGGGAGGCAGCAGUGGGGAAUAUUGCACAAUGGGCGCAAGCCUGAUGCAGCGACGCCGCGUGAGGGAUGACGGCCUUCGGGUUGUAAACCUCUUUCAAUAGGGACGAAGCGCAAGUGACGGUACCUAUAGAAGAAGCACCGGCCAACUACGUG
rnacentral:rRNA from 1 species